rnacentral:rRNA from 1 species
GCAUAUCAAUAAGCGGAGGAAAAGAAACCAACAGGGAUUGCCCCAGUAACGGCGAGUGAAGCGGCAACAGCUCAAAUUUGAAAUCUGGCCCCAGGCCCGAGUUGUAAUUUGCAGAGGAUGCUUUUGGCGCGGUGCCUUCCGAGUUCCCUGGAACGGGACGCCAUAGAGGGUGAGAGCCCCGUACGGUUGGACACCAAGCCUUUGUAAAGCUCCUUCGACGAGUCGAGUAGUUUGGGAAUGCUGCUCUAAAUGGGAGGUACAUUUCUUCUAAAGCUAAAUAUUGGCCAGAGACCGAUAGCGCACAAGUAGAGUGAUCGAAAGAUGAAAAGCACUUUGAAAAGAGGGUUAAACAGCACGUGAAAUUGUUAAAAGGGAAGCGCUUGUGACCAGACUUGCGUCCGGUGAAUCACCCAGCUCUCGCGGCUGGGGCACUUCGCCGGCACAGGCCAGCAUCAGCUUGCCGUCGGGGACAAAAGCUUCAGGAACGUGGCUCCUCUCGGGGAGUGUUAUAGCCUGUUGCAUAAUACCCUUCGGCGGGCUGAGGUACGCGCUCCGCAAGGAUGCUGGCGUAAUGGUCAUCAGCGACCCGUCUUGAAACACGGACCAAGGAGUCAACCUUAUGUGCGAGUGUUUGGGUGUUAAACCCCUACGCGUAAUGAAAGUGAACGCAGGUGAGAGCUUCGGCGCAUCAUCGACCGAUCCUGAUGUUCUCGGAUGGAUUUGAGUAAGAGCAUAUAGGGUUGGACCCGAAAGAAGGUGAACUAUGCGUGUGUAGGGUGAAGCCAGAGGAAACUCUGGUGGAGGCUCGCAGCGGUUCUGACGUGCAAAUCGAUCGUCAAACAUGCGCAUGGGGGCGAAAGACUAAUCGAACCUUCUAGUAGCUGGUUUCCGCCGAU